rnacentral:lncRNA from 1 species
GUAACGAGAAAUGAAUCGAGUAGAAGCUAAUGCUUGGAGUCUAGAGUAGUUCUUAUGGGUCAUGCUCUGAUAGAUGUAACAUCGGGAGGGGGUGUUUUAAUUAAUUUGAUAUUGGUUGUUGAAUGAUUUACAUGUAUCGUGUUACAUGCUUUACAUUGAUGUUGGAUUUUAUUCCGCUGCGAAUUAUGCAAAAGAACCUUAUUUUGAUUUAAUAAAUGAGCAUGACAGGACAUUUUGAUAAUUGUGGUGAAAUGGUUGUGUGACACCCUUCGGGGCAUAAUUACUCUGAUGAAUAUAUUGUUAUUUGAAAUUAUA